AAAAGAUUCUUGCAAGAAUGUAUGGGAAUAUGCUGUAGAUUCAGGCAUCAAUGCUUUUCAAAUUAAAUGGCAUAUUUAAUGCAAUCCCAUUGAAGAUUCUACUGGUAUUGAGCUGGGGAGUGAGAAGAGGGAAUAUUUGCGAAAUGACUCUAAAAUUUUUUGGACAAGUAAAGUAUGAUAAUAGCUUGAAGUCUGCAAAAGAGGAGUAAAAGGGGUGAAGACAUGGGCAGACUGAAUUUGGUUCAGGAGAGCCAGGUCUUGUCCUAAGCAAUCAGCCUGAUAAGGGAGGAGGUAGAUAAUCCCUUAUCUGAAAAGGAUAAAGGACACUGUAAUAAAUUGUUGGAUUUUAAAAUGUAUGUCAAGAGCUGGAAAGCACCUGAGANNNNNNNNNNCUAUAAUCCCAGCACUUUGGGAGGCCGAAGCAGUGGAUCAGGAGUUUCAGACCAGCGUGGCCAACAUGGUGAAACCCUGUCUCAACUAAAAAUACAAAAAAUUAGCCGGAUGUGGUGGCAGGUGUCUGUAAUCCCUGCUACUCGGAGGCUGAGGCAGGAGAAUCACUUGAACCUGGGAGGCGGAGGUUGCAGUGAGCCAAGAUCGUGCCAUUGCACUCCAGCCUGGGCAACAAGGGCGAAACUCCAUCUCAACAUUUUAAAAAAAACUAAAACUAUCAGUCUGAUGUGGGAGGAGGUAGAGAAUACUUGAUUUGCAAGGGAUGAUGGGCACAAUCAUAAAUUGUUGGUGAAAAUGUGCAUCAAGAGCUGGAAAGCACCUGAGAUUUUUACUGUAUUUGGAGACAAGGCCUUUAAGUAGGUAAUUAAGGUUACAUGAGGUCAAAAGCUUGGGGCCCUGAUCUGAUAGGAUUUCUAUCCUUAUAAGAGGAAGAGAGAGACACCAGAAUAUUGACUUUCUACAGUAAACAUAUGUGUCUUUUAUGGUCAAGCAAAAAAAAAAAAAUAAUAAAGUUUUCAUUUUAGGGAAAAAAGGAAGUGCCUCUUGAAGCUAACCUCAGUAUAACUCCAUUUUUCUUUACCUUUCUGGUUUGUCACAUUUCAGCUACUGUUAUGGUUGUAGGGACAUGAUAGUUCCCACUCAAUGAUUUUAUUGGUAAGUCAAGUGCAUCCUGAGAUAAAUAAUCUUAGAUGUUAUGGUAAGUGGCUCCUG
rnacentral:lncRNA from 1 species